rnacentral:lncRNA from 1 species
CAGAGGCGACACUCAUUGUAGCAGAGAGGCAGGACCAACUGGGAGAGGGUCCUUCUGUGACAACUAUUGCAUCACCGGGCUGUGUGAAGUGACUCAGCUGCCAGAACUCACACAAUAUCAUUCUACACCAAACCUCACGGGAAAAAUGCUCCACGACCCUCAGACUUAAACAGCAGCACUGGCUCCUCCCCAGAUCUCCAGCUCCCUGACCCUCAAACUCCAACUCCAACACCAGCUCUGCCCCAGGUCUCCAGCUCCACAAUCCUCAAACUACAACAGCAGCACCAGCUCCCCUGGGGAUCUCCAGCUCAAUGACUCUCAGACUUGGGAGGCAGCUCCAGCUCCCACCAAGCCUCCAGCUCCACAACCUUCAAACUAGAACAGCAGCACCAGCUACUCCCUGGGUCUCCAGCUCCCUCAAAAUUCAACUAUAGCACUGGCUGUUCCCCAGCGCCACCAGCUCCACAACCCUCAACUUACACGGUGGUAGCACCAGCUCCUCCCUAGGUCUCCAGCUACACGACCGUCAAACUUGAACUGCAACACCAGCUCCUCUUCGGCCUCCAGCUCCACAAUCCUCCAACAACAACAGCAACACCGGCUCCUCCCUGAAUCUCCAGCUCAACAACCCUCAGACUUGAGAGGCAGCACCGGCACCUCCCCAAGGCUCCAGCUCCAUGACCCUCAGAUUUGAACAGCGGUAGCACCAGCUCCUGUCCAGACAGCACCUUGUCUCAUUUGAACAAGACAUCUGGAGCCUGGAGAUCCCAGGGCUGAUAUGGCAACAGUGCGAUGCCCCCCAUGGAUAUGGGGUCGUUCCAUGUUUCUUCCCUGCCUUCCUCAGCAUGUUAACCUUUCAGCUUCACAUCCGCAUCCUCAUGGUCACAAGAUGGCUGACAAGCUCCAGCUCUCCCAUCCCUAGAAAGACUUCAGCUGGCAAAGCAACGCAAAUGGCUGAGCGUCGAGGAUAGAAGUGGCUGAACAGCGAGCAGAGAAGCAACUGAGCAUCGGAGGUUGGAGAUAGAUGCAGCUAACUUCAGAUACUGUGGUUUUAGAGAGGGGCCUGGCCAGAGACGGCUGGGUUCCAGGGACAGACCACCUUCCCAUCCCCUUUCCAGCCUCCCUUUCCACUGAGAGCUGCUCGCUGCUCAAUAAAGUCUUCUACAUUCAUCACCCUUCAAACAGUUCAUGUGACCUGGUUCUUCCUGGUUCGUCGGACAAGAACCCGGGUGCCAAGAGGGCAAGGGCUGUCACCCUGACCCUCCACUGAGUCGGUUGGUACUUGGCCAUCCCUGGACAGCAGAGCUGAAAGAGCAUGGGUUGUAACACGCUUGGACUCUACUGCGGGGUCUGCACAGAGUCUGCUCCCGCCAGAGAGGAGCAGCCGG